GGGCUCUUAGCUCAGCUGGUUCAGAGCACCUGCCUUACAAGCAGGGGGUCACUGGUUCGAAUCCAGUAGGGCCCACUA
rnacentral:tRNA from 1 species